CUACCCCGCUGAAUUUAAGCAUAUCAAUAAGCGGAGGAAU
rnacentral:rRNA from 1 species